CAUGCUGACUUUCUGCUAGCUAGCUGUCACAUACUUCUCAAUAUGGCGGGCAAUUUGAACUGCCACCGCUCUGUCAAUUCUUUAGCGUGGACUCUGUCCACUCAUAGCUCACCUGUCAACUGUUUGUUAAUGCAGCUUCAGUAGCUAACGUUACUGUUUUGUGGCGGUAAUAUUCGCGUUGGUGCUCUCCUGCUCCCGUUUUUAUGUCUCACUUCCUUCAUAGUUUCUCACAUGGGUUGUCAACCUCAAACUCCACUUCAAGCAGGAGUUUUCCUUCCCUGCUGUCGGCGGCUUGGCUCUUCCUGCAUCCGCGGAGGUGCCAGGGAUCGCUGCUUCACUUCAACCAAGCUAGGUAAUCAUCAGCAGGUUAUUUAAUUCUGGGCUGCAGCACAGCUCAGCCUCUGGCUGACUCUCUGGCAUUUGGCCGCUGCGCCAGCUCUCACUCUUCCCCACCGACGCCUUUUCGAUUUGGUUAUGUUGCUUUAGUUCUUUUGCUUUUAUGCACCGUACAACACCCACACACACAUCUUCCACUCAUGCACACUACACUACUGAUUAUACUGACAUCCAAGCCCCAUAUUGUAAAUAUUUAGUUAAUUUGUUUAAUUUGAUUUAAUAAAUUAUAUUUUGUUAAACAUUGACAUGGUGUGUUUCCCUUUUGUUGUGGCCACUUGAGCCAGGUCAUAACAAUACGUUGUUUUGCAUGUUAGAGCUUCCACAAUGAGAGCAUUGUUGGCUCUGAUUAUGAGUACACUCCAGAGCCAAGCACAUCAUCUGGUCAAAGAGGACAGGCUUGGGGUCGAGGAUGAAGCAGAGGAGGUUUUGUGAGAGGGAGGGCAACCAGCAGGGUCCGAGGAAGUGGAGGCAGAGGACGGGGAGAUCGGAGUGCGACAGGCCAAGGAGCAGAUGUUCUUGGACAAGAUAAUAUAUAAUAUAUAACCUCAAAGGAUUACAGAUGAGCAUGCCAGAAUUUGAGGACUGAGCUUGGAACAAAUCACAUCAAGUGUUGGAGCUCUGCCUGACACGUGACCCAAGCCUGAUCUUUGAUAUUC